UUUAGAUCCUUUGAGGGUAAAGCUAGAAAUAGUGGAGACCUUGGAAUUGAUAAAAGCGGUGUUUCAAUGGGAGAGGGAGGCUAGCGGGUCGAGGGUUAGUUCGUCACUUCUUCGAUGACUGGCCAAGAAUGCAUCGUCUUCAUCAACAUAGUGGAGAGCCCAAUACCACUAGUUGCUUGGAAUGGAGAUUAUGAGGCCGUGGAAGGUUCUCAGCAUGUUGGAUUUGCAGGAGAGCGGCACCCUACCAGUGUUUUGCUUGAGCUGCCUCGUGGUGCUCUCUCUCUCUCUCUCUCUCUCUCUCUCUCUCUCUCUCUACUGAGUCCAGAGUCUCCAGACAGUCAUAUUAGGCCAGUAGCGUUAGUAACCCUCAUUGUUCUGGGAUGGCGAGGGUUGCAGGGAAGGUGAUCGGAUAUUGGAGAAGGUAGGAUACAAGAAAGGGGUAAAAUGGUAAAAAAAAAAAAAACAUAAUUGAGGGAGAAUCACUGUUUUAGGUAGUUUUGUAAACCCAAACUUGUUUACGAAGAUUGUUUUUAGCUGAAACACAAAUUGGGUAAUUUAAUAAAACAAAACUCAAAAGUGGGUAAUCAAGUAA